rnacentral:rRNA from 1 species
GACAGAGGGUGCAAACGUUGUUCGGAAUUACUGGGCGUAAAGCGCGUGUAGGCGGCUCGGCAAGUCGGGUGUGAAAGCCCUGGGCUUAACCUAGGAAGUGCACUCGAAACUGCCAAGCUUGAGUUCUGGAGAGGAAGGCGGAAUUCUCGGUGUAGAGGUGAAAUUCGUAGAUAUCGAGAGGAACAUCGGUGGCGAAGGCGGCCUUCUGGACAGCAACUGACGCUGAGACGCGAAAGCGUGGGGAGCAAACAGG